CCUCGCACCCCACUGCUCUGCACAUUUUGUAUGUUUCUCUUCUCGCUUCAGAUGUCUGUUCUAUUUGAACGCAAGUGCCCUGUGAAGUGGACAUCACAGGAUAUUCUGCCAUGAUUCCAGUUUGAAGCAAAUGUAUAUGUUCCAUUCAAAGUGCAUUGAAGUGUGCGAGACAUGAAUUUAUACUGUAUUUAUUUACAGAGGACUGGAAUUGAGAACCGCUGGUGUUGUCAUUAUAAUCCGUAAUUAUGUCUCCACUGGAUGCAACAAAUGCCUCAUUUAUAAUGGGUUUUAUUGGUUUUGUCUCUGUGCUCCGGGACACACGGCAUCACAGUAUAAUAAGGGGGUAACAUUUCCGUCACACACUUGAGGUAUUCGGCCAAUCACAAUGCACUAGAUAGCUGGCCAAUCAGAGCACACCUUGCUUUCCAGAACGAUGAGCCUUGUAAAAAUCCAUGUGUUUCAGAAAGGCAGGGCAUAGAGGAGAAACAAUGUACAGUAUGUGGAAAAUUUGAAACUUAAACCACAUCAACCCAUUUCAUUACACCAAAUACACAAAAUAAUGGUCUUUUUAGCAACAACAUAUGAUCCCUUUAAUGGCAGUCAGUGGGUGUUGUAGUUCAUCGGUCCGUCCAUAAUAAAAAGUGCCUCACAUGGCUCCGGGGGAUGAACAAAGGUCUCCUGUAGAGAAUCGAUGCAUUUUUGUAGGAAAAAUAUCCAUAUUCAGAACUUAAUAACUUCAAUCUAGCUUGUGCCAACAGUUGUACACGGAAGCAGAUCCUGGAAGAUGACAUAAGAUGUCGGCGUUGCACAUGCAAUCUCGUGAAAACCAACAUUUGUUAACAGGAGCAAAGGAAGCAAAGUUUCCCAACUUUAGCAAAGCGUUCAUCACUUCUGAGUGGCGUAUACGCAACUGUCAAAUUAUUGUCUGGAUGCCAUUCUCAGACCAAUGGGCAAACAGAGAGGAAGAUCCAGGAAAUUAGGCACUUUCUUUGCACCUAUUCCCAAAGCCACCAAACGUCCUGGCACGGGCUCCUUGCAUGGGCCAAGUAUGCUCAAAUUCUCUUCGUCAAACAGAGACUGGAUUAACACCAUCACAAACUCUCAACAGUGAAUCAUUGGUUCUGGGAACAAAAGGUGUUUUUUUUUUUUUUUGGUAGUCAUACAAUUUUGGCACAUAAUAAUUAACAUACAAGCAUCUAUAAUGCAUGAAAAUAACUUUUUUUUUUUUUUACUUCUAUUUUUGUUAAAUUCAUGGUUUAUAUCAGAUGGUCAAUGUGCUGAUAACAAGUAAGCUGCUAAUUUUGCAAACAGUCAUGAACAGAUGAAUAAUAAUUUUUUGAUAAACUGAAAGAAUAGAAAAACAAAUUGAUACACUGUUCCUAUUAAAGCUACAGCUUUCUGAGUUGUGGUGACAAACUUGAAUCUUUGCUUUUCUU
ensembl:lncRNA